AUUGAACGCUGGCGGCAGGCCUAACACAUGCAAGUCGAGCGAGCGGCGGCCGGGUGGGUAAUGUCUGGGAAACUGCCUGAUGGAGGGGGAUAACUACUGGAAACGGUAGCUAAUACCGCAUACCCUCAGAUGUGCCCAGAGGGGAUUAGCUAGUUGGUGGGGUAAUGGCUCACCUAGGCGACGAUCCCUAGCUGGUCUGAGAGGAUGACCGGCCACACUGGAACUGAGACACGGUCCAGACUCCUACGGGAGGCAGCAGUGGGGAAUAUUGCACAAUGGGCGCAAGCCUGAUGCAGCCAUGCCGCGUGUAUGAAGAAGGCCUUCGGGUUGUAAAGUACUUUCAGCGAGGAGGCGUUACUCGCAGAAGAAGCACCGGCUAACUCCGUGCCAGCAGCCGCGGUAAUAC
rnacentral:rRNA from 1 species